AGCAGUAGGGAAUCUUCCGCAAUGGACGAAAGUCUGACGGAGCAACGCCGCGUGAGUGAUGAAGGCUUUCGGGUCGUAAAACUCUGUUGUUAGGGAAGAACAAGUGCUAGUUGAAUAAGCUGGCACCUUGACGGUACCUAACCAGAAAGCCACGGCUAACUACGUGCCAGCAGCCGCGGUAAUACGUAGGUGGCAAGCGUUAUCCGGAAUUAUUGGGCGUAAAGCGCGCGCAGGUGGUUUCUUAAGUCUGAUGUGAAAGCCCACGGCUCAACCGUGGAGGGUCAUUGGAAACUGGGAGACUUGAGUGCAGAAGAGGAAAGUGGAAUUCCAUGUGUAGCGGUGAAAUGCGUAGAGAUAUGGAGGAACACCAG
rnacentral:rRNA from 1 species